rnacentral:rRNA from 1 species
GGACUACCAGGGUAUCUAAUCCUGUUUGCUCCCCACGCUUUCGUGCAUGAGCGUCAGUACAGGCCCAGGGGAUUGCCUUCGCCAUCGGUGUUCCUCCGCAUAUCUACGCAUUUCACUGCUACACGCGGAAUUCCAUCCCCCUCUGCCGUACUCCAGCCUUGCAGUCACAAAUGCAGGUCCCAGGUUGAGCCCGGGGAUUUCACAUCUGUCUUACAAGACCGCCUGCGCACGCUUUACGCCCAGUAAUUCCGAUUAACGCUUGCACCCUACGUAUUACCGCGGCUGCUGGCAC